GAUGAACGCUAGCGGCAGGCCUAAUACAUGCAAGUCGAACGGUCCGCUUCGGCGGAUAGUGGCGCACGGGUGCGUAACACGUAUGCAACCUACCUUACAUUGGGGGAUAGCCUUUCGAAAGGGAGAUUAAUACCGCAUAAGACAGUAGCUGGGCAUCCAGUAGCUGUUAAAGAUUUAUCGAUGUAAGCUGGGCAUGCGUCCAAUUAGUUAGUUGGUGAGGUAACGGCUCACCAAGACGAUGAUUGGUAGGGGAACUGAGAGGUCAAUCCCCCACACGGGAACUAGGAUACGGGCCAGAAUCCUGCGGGAGGCAGCAGUAGGGAAUAUUGGGCAAUGGACGCAAGUCUGACCCAGCCAUGCCGCGUGCAGGAAGAAGGCGUUCUGCGUUGUAAACUGCUUUUAUAUAGGAAGAAACGACCCUUGCGAGGGGCAUUGACGGUAUUAUAUGAAUAAGCACCGGCUAACUCCGUGCCAGCAGCCGCCGCCGUAA
rnacentral:rRNA from 1 species